rnacentral:SRP_RNA from 1 species
GCUGGGUGGGUGGCUCUCCUGUAGUCCCAGCUAUUCAGAAGGCCAAGAUUAGAGGAACACUUGAACCUAGGAUUUCUAGACUAAUGUGCUAUGCACUAAGUUUGGCAUCAAUAUGAUGACCUCCCAGAAGUGGGGGACCACCAGGAUGCUUAAAGAGGAGUGAACUGGCCCAGAUCAGAAACAGAGCAGGUCAAAACUCCCAUGCUGAUCCCAAAGUUAGUAAAUUGUUGCGUCUAUUUUUAAGCCUAAACAGUUAAUCAGU